UACGUAGGGUGCGAGCGUUAAUCGGAAUUACUGGGCGUAAAGCGUGCGCAGGCGGUUUGGUAAGACAGAUGUGAAAUCCCCGGGCUUAACCUGGGAAUGGCAUUUGUGACUGCCCGGCUAGAGUGUGUCAGAGGGGGGUAGAAUUCCACGUGUAGCAGUGAAAUGCGUAGAGAUGUGGAGGAACACCGAUGGCGAAGGCAGCCCCCUGGGUCAAGAUUGACGCUCAUGCACGAAAGCGUGGGGAGCAAACAGG
rnacentral:rRNA from 1 species